rnacentral:rRNA from 1 species
CCUACGGGUGGCAGCAGUGGGGAAUAUUGCACAAUGGGGGAAACCCUGAUGCAGCGACGCCGCGUGAGUGAAGAAGUAUUUCGGUAUGUAAAGCUCUAUCAGCAGGGAAGAAGCAAGACGGUACCUGACUAAGAAGCCCCGGCUAACUACGUGCCAGCAGCCGCGGUAAUACGUAGGGGGCAAGCGUUAUCCGGAUUUACUGGGUGUAAAGGGAGCGUAGACGGUAUGGCAAGUCUGAAGUGAAAGCCCAUGGCUUAACCCUGGGACUGCUUUGGAAACUGUUAGACUAGAGUGCUGGAGAGGUAAGUGGAAUUCCUAGUGUAGCGGUGAAAUGCGUAGAUAUUAGGAGGAACACCAGUGGCGAAGGCGGCUUACUGGACAGUAACUGACGUUGAGGCUCGAAAGCGUGGGGAGCAAACAGGAUUAGAUACCCUUGUAGUC